AAUAGAUACCCUGGUAGUCCAUGCCGUAAACGUUGGGCACUAGGUGUGGGGCCAGUUCCACUGGUUCUGUGCCGCAGCUAACGCAUUAAGUGCCCCGCCUGGGGAGUACGGCCGCAAGGCUAAAACUCAAAGGAAUUGACGGGGGCCCGCACAAGCGGCGGAGCAUGCGGAUUAAUUCGAUGCAACGCGAAGAACCUUACCAAGGCUUGACAUGUACGAGAAAGCCCCAGAGAUGGGGUUCUCUUUGGACACUCGUACACAGGUGGUGCAUGGUUAUCGUCAGCUCGUGUCGUGAGAUGUUGGGUUAAGUCCCGCAACGAGCGCAACCCUUAUCCUAUGUUGCCAGCGGGUUAUGCCGGGGACUCAUGGGAGACUGCCGGGGUCAACUCGGAGGAAGGUGGGGAUGACGUCAAAUCAUCAUGCCCCUUAUGUCUUGGGCUUCACGCAUGCUACAAUGGCCGGUACAGAGGGCUGCGAUACCGUGAGGUGGAGCGAAUCCCGAAAAAGCCCGGUNUCAGGUUCGGAUCGGGGU
rnacentral:rRNA from 1 species